rnacentral:lncRNA from 1 species
CGUGAGCGUAGCGCAGGAGCGGGGUGCGCGUCGGCGGAGGCCCCGGAGCGCGCGCGGCGAAGUGACCGUGUGUUGAGAGCGCAGGGCCGGUGUGGCUGAGUCGGGCCUGCGCCUGUGGGAAGCAUACUUACCUGGCAGGGGAGAUACCAUGAUCAAGCAGGUGGUUUUCCCAGGGCGAGGCCCACCCAUUGCACUUGGGGUGUGCUGACCCCUGCGAUUUCCCCAAAUGCGGGAAACUCGACUGCAUAAUUUGUGAUACCAUGAUCAAGUAGGUGGUUUUCCCAGGGCGAGGCCCACCCAUUGCACUUGGGGUGUGCUGACCCCUGCGAUUUCCCCAAAUGCGGGAAACUCGACUGCAUAAUUUGUGUUAGUGGGGGACUGCGUUCGCGCUCUCCCCUGGUAUUCUUGUUGCAAAGAAAGUCUUGUACUCAUCUUGCGCUUAGCCUUACUUUUUCUGUAAUGAUUGUAGUUGACCCGCAGAGGAGGUUAAGUGUCUCUUCUCACCCCGUUUCUUCCCCCACCCCAAGCUUUUCCUUACUUUUUCCUUAGUUAUUACUAAAGUUUUAUUGAGCUAUGUGAUUUUAUUCUUUAAAGGUCUCAAGUCCUCUUCAAAUCUAAAGAUUGCCAUUUUUCCGGGACCCUGCCUUCGAUUGUUUCAAUGGAUAUGUUAGUUAUCUUCUAUAGACACCCUUCCCGGGGUCUCCCCUUCCCGAAGUCAGGCUGCCCCCCCCCCCAUCUCCAUUUUGUCCCCGAGUGAGACAAAAGAACCGAGAACCCUUCCUUCUCAGAGAACAUAAGAUUCUGGUGGCUGAGGCCCCAAAUUCAGUUGCCCGAAAGGUCACC